UACGACUACAUCACAUUGAAAGACCGAUUUCUGUGCGAUCACCGAAGUUAAACAACAUCACGCCUGGUCAGUACCUGGAUGGGUGAUAGUUUGGAAACACCAGGUGCUGUAAGC